GUGCUUGCUUCUGCAGCCAGCACACACCCCAAAAUCGGAAUGAUAAAAGAUGAGCAUGGCCCCCGUGCAAGGAUGACAUGCAAAAUUCAUGAAGCAUUCCAUAUUUUU
rfam:Tupaia chinensis contig99649, whole genome shotgun sequence.